rnacentral:rRNA from 1 species
AUGUCAAGUUAUAAAUCGUCUCUGGGCCUAAUCUAUUAUUCUACAUUAUCAGAUCAAAACAAUUGUCUUCUGAUUUAUCCAUUUGGGAAUCAAUUCGUGGAAUUUCCUGCUGGAAUUCCUUUGGUUUCCCUUUAUUGUCUUCAGACCACUCCUUCUCCACCACCUCAGAUGUUUGCUUCAAAAACAGUAAUCACAUGCUAG